rnacentral:rRNA from 1 species
UACGUAGGGGGCAAGCGUUGUCCGGAUUUACUGGGCGUAAAGAGCGUGUAGGCGGCCAAGCAGGUCCGUUGUGAAAACUGGAGGCUUAACCUCCAGACGUCGACGGAAACCGCGUGGCUAGAGUCCGGAAGAGGAGAGUGGAAUUCCUGGUGUAGCGGUGAAAUGCGCAGAUAUCAGGAAGAACACCAAUGGCGAAGGCAGCUCUCUGGGACGGUACU